rnacentral:rRNA from 1 species
GAUGAACGCUAGCGGCAGGCCUAACACAUGCAAGUCGAGGGGUAGAGGAAGCUUGCUUCCUUGAGACCGGCGCACGGGUGCGUAACGCGUAUGCAAUCUACCUUUUACAGAGGGAUAGCCCAGAGAAAUUUGGAUUAAUACAUCAUAGUAGUUUCGAAUGGCAUCAUUUGAUUAUUAAAGUUCCAACGGUAAAAGAUGAGCAUGCGUCCUAUUAGCUAGAUGGUAAGGUAACGGCUUACAAUGGCAAUGAUAGGUAGGGGUCCUGAGAGGGAGAGCCCCCACAGUGGUAGUGAGAAACGGACCAGACUCCUACGGGAGGCAGCAGUGAGAAAUAUGGGACAAUGGGCGCAAUCUUGAUCCAGCCAGGCCGCGUGCAGGAAGACGCAUCUAUGGUGUGUAAACUGCUUUUGUACGGGAAGAAACACUCCCUCGUGAGGGAGCUUGACGGUACCGUAAGAAUAAGGAUCGGCUAACUCCGUGCCAGCCGCCGCAGUAAUAC